UUCGCCCGUGAAAGCGGCACACACGGUGGGUUCAGGGCGUCGUCUGCC
rnacentral:rRNA from 12 species